rnacentral:rRNA from 1 species
UCGGGAAUUUUGGGCAAUGGGCGAAAGCCUGACCCAGCAACGCCGCGUGAGGGAUGAAGUAUUUCGGUAUGUAAACCUCGAAAGAAUGGGAAGAGUAAAUGACGGUACCAUUUAUAAGCUCCGGCUAACUACGUGCCAGCAGCCGCGGUAAUACGUAGGGAGCAAGCGUUGUUCGGAUUUACUGGGCGUAAAGGGCGCGUAGGCGGCGCGGUAAGUCACUUGUGAAAUCUCUGAGCUUAACUCAGAACGGCCAAGUGAUACUGCUGUGCUAGAGUGCGGAAGAGGCAACCGGAAUUCUUGGUGUAGCGGUGAAAUGCGUAGAUAUCAAGAGGAACACCUGAGGCGAAGGCGGGUUGCUGAGCCGACACUGACGCUGAUGCGCGAAAGCCAGGGGAGCAAACG